GCCAGGAUGGCUUAGUGGUUUGAGUUUUGGACUCGACUCUAGAGACUAGGGUUCAAUUCCCAGUUUGGCCA